rnacentral:hammerhead_ribozyme from 1 species
CAGCGAAACAUUCCCAUGCUCUGAGAGGCACUUUUGUGCCGUCUUUCGCCAGAGCCGGGAGGAAUGUCGUCGUGACGUGGUGGUCACGGCCUGAUGAGCCAGCCGCUC